AGCUAAUACUUGCUUUAGCACCCUUGAUUUAUUUCUUGAGUGUGUACUUGUUAAGCCUUAUAAGAAAAGAGUUAUUAACUUAAGGAAUUAUAACAAAGAAGUGACACGUAAUGGAUUAUUCCAUUUUUUAGUGUGUAUCAAUCGAGUUUCUGACCUAUCAGCUUUUGAUGUUAG
rnacentral:rRNA from 1 species